rnacentral:rRNA from 1 species
AUGUCGCUCAACCGCCUCAAGGAAACACUCCUUCCCUGCUCUUCCUCCUCCGCGCAGAGCCAAUCUCAACCCCGAUCGCCCUCGCCUCCUCGCCCACCGCGGAGGCCGCCCAAGACCUCCCUCUCGCAGCAGCUCCUCCGACUCGAGGCCUCCUACUCCCUGCCCGCGCCGCCACCGUCCCCUCCCAAACCCUUGAGCCAGAAGACAGCGGAGGAUGCGGCCGAACAACCGACUUCUUCGUCGGAGGAGGACGUGGCCCCCCGCCCCCGACGCCGUCCGGCCCCGCCACCAGCGGCUUCCUUUGAGCCCCGCGGGCCCUAUGAGCCACUUGUCCUCUCGCCGCUCGGAGAGCACCCCAUCGUCCAGGUGCCCCCAUCAAUUAAUUGCAGGCUACUUGCGCAUCAGAGGGAUGGUGUGAGAUUCUUAUACAAUCUGUAUAGAAACAACCAUGGCGGCGUGCUUGGAGAUGAUAUGGGAUUGGGAAAGACUAUUCAAACAAUAGCAUUUUUAUCCUCUGUUAUUGGAAAAGAUAAUAAUCAGGGCGAGAAAUCAACAGACAAAGGAAAGAAGUCCAGUCCUGUACUCAUCCUCUGUCCCACUUCAGUAAUUCGGAAUUGGGAAAAUGAAUUUUCUGAGUGGGCAAAUUUUUCUGUUGCUGUCUAUCAUGGUCCAAAUCGUGACUUAGUUCUUGAAAAAAUUGAAGGUCAAGGACUAGAGGUGCUCAUUACCAGUUUUGAUACUUUUAGGACUCGUGACAAGGUUUUAUGUGACAUCUCAUGGGAACUAGUGGUGGUUGAUGAGGCACACCGACUCAAGAAUGAAAAAUCGAAGUUAUAUACAGCCUGCUUGGGAAUUACUACACAAAAACGCUUUUGUCUCACAGGAACCAUAAUGCAGAACAAGAUAAUGGAAUUAUUUAAUGUGUUUGACUGGGUUGUACCUGGUUGUUUGGGGGACCGAGAACACUUUAGAGAAUAUUAUGACGAGCCCUUAAAACAUGGCCAGAGAUUAAGCGCUCCUGAGAGAUUUGUUCAAGUUGCUGAUAAGCGCAAGAAGCACCUUGUCUCUGUUCUAAAGAAAUUCCUGUUGAGAAGAACAAAAGAGGAGACUAUUGGGCAUCUCAUGCUUGGGAAGGAAGAUAAUAUUGUUUUCUGCAGAAUGAGUGAUGUUCAAAAACGUGUUUAUAGAAGAAUGCUGCAACAGCCUGACAUACAAAUCCUUGUAAAUAAGGAUCUCCCCUGUAGCUGUGGAAGUCCUCUGACUCAGGUUGAGUGUUGCAAGAAAAUUGAACCACGUGGCAUUAUCUGGUCCUAUCUCCACAGAGAGAAUCUGGAUGGCUGUCCUCUAUGCCCCUUCUGCCUUGUUCUUCCUUGCCUUGUCAAGCUUCAGCAGAUUAGUAACCAUCUGGAAUUGAUAAAGCCCAAUCCAAGGGAUGAGAUUGAGAAGCAGAAGAAAGACGCUGAGCUUGCGGCUGCUGUCUUUGAUACAGAUAUUGAAUUAGUUGGCGGUAGUGCUAAAAGUGAGAAUUUCAUGGGUCUCAGUGACUCAGAACACUGUGGAAAGAUGCGUGCACUGGAAAGACUUCUGUCUUUGUGGACCCUACAGGGUGACAAGAUUCUUCUUUUCAGCUAUUCUGUCAGAAUGCUCGACAUACUAGAGAAGUUUCUUAUAAGGAAGGGUUACUGCUUUUCUCGCUUAGACGGGUCAACACCCAUGAAUGCACGCCAAUCGCUAGUUGACGAAUUCAACAAAAGCCCUAGCAAACAGGUUUUUCUUAUAUCUACCCGGGCAGGCAAUUUAGGCGUUAACCUUGUCAGUGCUAACCGUGUGGUGAUUUUUGAUCCAAGUUGGAAUCCUGCACAAGACUUGCAAGCACAGGACAGAUCGUUCCGAUUUGGACAGAAACGGCAUGUCACAGUAUUUCGCCUACUUGGAGCUGGAUCCCUAGAAGAACUCAUUUAUUCUCGACAAAUAUAUAAACAACAGCUUUCCAACAUUGCAGUCUCAGGGAAAAUAGAAAAGCGAUACUUUGAUGGUGUGCAGGAUGACAAGAAAUUUCAGGGUGAGCUCUUUGGGAUCUGUAAUCUGUUCCGUGACUUGUCUGAUAAGCUUUUUACUAGUGAGAUUAUUGAGAUGCACGGAGAGGAUGAGAAAGCUAAAACAUCUGAAGAAACAGGGAUAAGAGAAAUAGUUGACACUGAUUUAUUUGGUACACAAGGGCAAAUGAAAUCAUCCACGGCAGCAAUAGGUGAUGAAAAUCAGGCAUUGGCUGAUUAUGGAGUUGUGUAUGCUCACCGGAACGAGGACGUUGUUAACUCUAGGACGCACGACGACGACAACAACGAAAGAAACGACGACGCGACAGAAGAACGCGUCGAGGGCACCUCGGAAGGCCUGCAUAGUAAGAAGCAAAUAAAGCCCACGGCGGACAGGGCGAAACUUCGCUCGGUGGAGGAACAGAAACGGAAGGAGUUCAGCCGUAUCGCGGCCUGUGUGGGUAUGAACGACCUCGAGUUCAGCAAGUGGCUGCUAUCCGUCUCUCCUAUGCAGCGGCAGCGGGUCCUGGACGAUCAUAGGAAGAAAAGAAGUUUCACCGAACAAUAA